GUCAGAAGCGCACCUCCACCCGCAGCUGCCCCCCUCCCGAGCCCAGCGCGGAGCAGCCGGGUUUGAGGAUGUCAGCGAGCAGCCAAUCAGCGCCCGCGGCCUAAGGUGGCUCCCCUGGGAGAGUGGGCCGCGCCACAGACUCAGGACGCCCGAGAUGCAGGACGCGGGCGCGGGCGGGGUGAUGUGAGGCCCCGGCUUGCACUCCUGGGCAUCAGGCGGGUUCCGUGCAGCUGCCUCAACCUUGUGUCGAGACACGGAAGGCUGCAAACGGCAGGGUGAUGUCACUGAGUCCUUCCUGGCCUGGCCCACCAGCACCCCAAGAUCACAGGUGCCACCUGUGGGGCGGUAAGGGGUUUUCCCUGUCCCAGUAGUUCCUCCUGUCUUAGUCAUCUCUAGUUCCCCAAGGGCAUUUUGGAAAGGGAUUUGGGGUCAAAGUCCUUUAGAAGGGAGGGGACAACAGAAAAAUGGGCUGGGGGCACCCCUGGCCAGCUGCCUGUUAUCUCUGAGCCUCCUCUGUGCCAUCCGAGGUGGAGACAAUACUUUAUAUCUCAUAGGGAGUUGUCAGCGUUAAAUGAGAACCGUGCUGACAGAACGCCAGACUGAGGAUGGCGAAUAAUAAAUACUGGGUUUCUUUCUUCUCCUCUUAGGGGCUGAGGAGUAAGUGGCUGUCUUGGGUUGCUUUUUCUGCUCCUGUCAGCCUCAGCUAAGCAGCUCCUCAGGCGCCCAGGAGCCUCUGCCAGAAGGAUUUGUUCAGGAAAAUCUUGUUUGACACCCCAACUUGAGACCCACCUCAAAAUCUCCUUUUCGGCGAGACCCUCAGCCCCAUCCUCCUAGCUGCUCCCCCACCUUGUUCCUCUGGGCCUCUUACUCCACUUUAUUUUUCUGCAUAGCCCUAAACACUGACCUUGUAUUUCAUAUAUUCCAUAUUGAAUGUGUCUGUUAAGUUGCCCAUUUAAUGUUGUCUCUUUCCUACUCGAAAAUCUCAGUUCUGCUGAAGGCCCAACACCCAGAGCGGGAUCUGGCCCAGGCCCCUAAUAAACGCCACCGAUGACUGGCUGAGGGAGUAAGGGGGGAGGCAGCGGCUGAGGCCUCAGAUGGGGGACCAUUGUCUGAGGUCCUUAUGGCCCUUUGGGGUCCCCAUCUUGACAUCUUGGCACCUAGAAUUCGCCACUCCCCCCUAGCUACCCUACUCCGGCUUUGGCACCUGCUUCCCCCUCAGAUGACACCUGCACUGCCCCAAGCGGGCUGAGAUCAGGGGUUGGCAGCCUGUCGGGAAGUUACCACAACACAGGACACCUGGGGCUUGGUGGGCCUCGUGCUGCCAGCCCCCAUCUCUGCCCCCUCUUUCCCUCCCCCACUUUCCGUUUCUUCCAACUCUUCAGUCUUUUUCCAUCCUUCAUUAUUCUGCCUUUGCCUCCAAGCCCUGAGCCCACACCCAGACAUGACGGGCCUGCCUGAGGCCUUGGGGCUCUAACCCAAGGCCCAUUCCUGCCCGGGGAAGUGCUUUUUCCUUGAGGAAGUCGAGCCAGACCUCUGCGUGGCUGUCUGUGCGUGGCUGAUGUAGUUUCUCUUGGUCCCAGUGUUCUUUCCAUUCCCCAGUGGGUGAGACAUAACCAGGAAGGGGAGCCCCAGAUGCAACCCAGGAACCAUCUCUGCUUUCUUCUGUCUCCAACCUCAGCCAGGCUGUGGCCCCCUUUCACCUGGGCUUCAGGGCAGGAAAGUGUUUCCGUUUUUCCCAUCACCCACAAACACAUACUUUCCGCCUGCUGUGGGCAAAGCCUGAGGCCAAGCUCUGGGGGAGGAAUGGUCCAUCCUCAAGGGGACCCCAGGAGCACAGUAGGUGCUCUAUGUGCACAGGGUGGGGGGAUGGCUCAUUCAUUCAACACAUUUUUAUAGAGCACAGGGUAAGCGCUGAUGACCAAAAACUGUCCAGGCCUUGCCAUCUGUGGGAGACACAGUUUUCCAACAGAAGAUCAAAUAAAUAUUUCCUUUAAACCAA